GGCAACGUGCCUGAGUGGUUAAAGGGUAUGACUCGAAUGGGCUUGCUCAUCUCAGCUAUCAUAUGACUUCGGUCGCACAGGUUCGAAUCCUGUCGUUGUCG
rfam:Thielaviopsis punctulata NODE_53, whole genome shotgun sequence.